AUACGUAUGUCGCAAGCGUUAUCCGGAAUUAUUGGGCGUAAAGUGAGUCUAGGCGGCUUGUUAAGUCAGAUGUGAAAAUGCGGGGCUCAACUCCGUAUUGCGUUUGAAACUGGCAGGCUAGAGUACUGGAGAGGUGGGAGGAACUACAAGUGUAGAGGUGAAAUUCGUAGAUAUUUGUAGGAAUGCCGAUAGUGAAGACAGCUCACUGGACAGAUACUGACGCUAAAGCUCGAAAGCGUGGGGUGCGAACAGGAUUAGAAACCCCGGUAGUCC
rnacentral:rRNA from 1 species